rnacentral:rRNA from 1 species
UGCGGAGGGAUCAUUACAGAGUUAUCCAACUCCCAAACCCAUGUGAACUUAUCUCUUUGUUGCCUCGGCGCAAGCUACCCGGGACCUCGCGCCCCGGGCGGCCCGCCGGCGGACAAACCAAAACUCUUGUUAUCUUAGUUGAUUAUCUGAGUGUCUUAUUUAAUAAGUCAAAACUUUCAACAACGGAUCUCUUGGUUCUGGCAUCGAUGAAGAACGCAGCGAAAUGCGAUAAGUAAUGUGAAUUGCAGAAUUCAGUGAAUCAUCGAAUCUUUGAACGCACAUUGCGCCCAUUAGUAUUCUAGUGGGCAUGCCUGUUCGAGCGUCAUUUCAACCCCUAAGCACAGCUUAUUGUUGGGAACCUACGGCUUCGUAGUUCCUCAAAGACAUUGGCGGAGUGGCAGUGGUCCUCUGAGCGUAGUAAUCUUUUAUCUCGCUUCUGUUAGGUGCUGCCCCCCCGGCCGUAAAACCCCCAAUUUUUUCUGGUUGACCUCGGAUCAGGUAGGAAUACCCGCUGAACUUAAGCAUAUCAAU